UACGAAGGGUGCAAGCGUUAAUCGGAAUUACUGGGCGUAAAGGGUGCGUAGGCGGUUGUUUAAGUCUGUCGUGAAAUCCCCGGGCUCAACCUGGGAAUGGCGAUGGAUACUGGGCAGCUAGAGUGUGUCAGAGGAUGGUGGAAUUCCCGGUGUAGCGGUGAAAAUGCGUAGAGAUCGGGAGGAACAUCAGUGGCGAAGGCGGCCAUCUGGGACAACACUGACGCUGAAGCACGAAAGCGUGGGGGAGCAAACAGG
rnacentral:rRNA from 1 species